UACGUAGGGUGCGAGCGUUGUCCGGAAUUACUGGGCGUAAAGAGCUCGUAGGUGGUUUGUCGCGUUGUUCGUGAAAACUCACAGCUUAACUGUGGGCGUGCGGGCGAUACGGGCAGACUGGAGUACUGCAGGGGAGACUGGAAUUCCUGGUGUAGCGGUGGAAUGCGCAGAUAUCAGGAGGAACACCGGUGGCGAAGGCGGAUCUCUGGGCCUUACCUGACGCUGAGACGCGAAAGCUAGGGGAGCGAACCGG
rnacentral:rRNA from 1 species